rnacentral:rRNA from 1 species
UGGCGGUAUUUUAUUCUUUUCAGAGGAACCUGUUCUAUAAAAGAUACCACACUAUAAUUUUACCUGUGGUAAACUUAUAUAUCGUUGUCGUAAGAAUUAACUUUAAAGUUUUUUCUUAAAUCUUAAUGAGUUUUAUGUCAAAUCUAGGUGUAGUGUUUACAGGUUAGAAAUGGGUUACUUUUAUUUAAAUAAUUUUUUUAGCCUUAGAGAUCUAAGAAAAAUUGGAUUUGAAAGUAAUCUUUAAAUUUAUCUAAUUUGAAUUAAGCUCUAAAAU